GUCAAAGAUGUUGAACAGGGGCCACAUGCCUGAGACUACCUGACCAGUUCAGCCUGUGUCUGAGGCACAGACUAAACCUGAGCAAACAGGCUGGUAGUCCAGCACCAACAGCGAACUUCAGUACUUGCCUCGUCUAUCUUCCAAGAGCAAAGAGGCCCACAGUGCCCUGGCUGCCUGUGGUCUGACCAGGCUGGAUGGGCCCUGAGGUGUGGGUUAGCGCGCUGAGAUCCCAGCGUGCAUGGCUGAGACAGCUGGCAAGGGCCAGCUUGGGAAGGAUGGCCUCAUAAGCUGCUGUGUGGACUGUCUGGCUCCUGAUUCAGGAAAGUGCACUUGGAGACCUGACCAUGCUGGUUUUGAACGCACAGAAAUCCACCUGCCACUGCCUCCCAAGUGCUGAGAUUAAAGGGUAUCCAGUAAAGGUCUAUGGUGAUGUUCCUCAUCUGGGAGGUUCCACAGUGAAAAGUGCUCAGAAUGGCUGGGGACACUGACAUCAGACUCUAACACUUGGUUCCUUCAAAGAAGAGGAAGUACACUGCAGCAGGGGCAAGAGGGCAAGACAUGACCAGUGGCCUCUGAAAACCAUGCCCACAAGGAUGUGCUACUACAAGCUGAUCCUCCCAGCCCUGCAGGGCUGGCGCAGUGUGGACAGCAGGGCCAUACAGUGUGGCGGCCAGAAUGCUCAGACCCAGCACUCCAGCUUAGCAGACCAGAGCUCUCAGCUCCGCCCUGUUCUUGUCUUGUGGUGGAGCCUUCUCCUUCUCCUCUUCCAGCCUCUGUAUCUCCUGCGUGAGGGAGCGGGCUUGCAAGCAGGGUGCUACGGCACUGACCAGAAGGCUGGCCCAGUGCCAUCGGCUCAAAGGAAGACUCUGGGCUCUGAGUCUUUGCCCCUUCUCUAAGGAGAAGGGCAGCAGUUCCCCAGUAGAGCUGGGUACCCCUAGCCCACGGCCCACUCACGCACGCACCUGCUUGACAGCCUGCUGCAGCUUCUCCAGGUUGAUGUCCUUGGCCUCGCGAAGCAGUGUCCUCUCAUCCAUCUUCAGCAUGGACACACGGUACUGACAGAGUUCCACAACCACCACAUCGGGCUGCACCUCCCGGAUCGUCUGCAAAGCAAGGACCACACUCACUGGCCCCCUCCUAUCGCUUUCCACAUGGCUGCUCCACGCUGGACAAGGGGUCCCACACCAGGGGCAGCCAGCAUGAAUAGCCUGUGUGGCUUAAGUGACAAAUUCUAGAGAAAGAGCAAGCAGAGAAAGCCGAGGCAGCUUUACUCGCUAAAAUGAAGCAGCACGAGGCUCCGAGCCAUGCAGCGGGAAGCACCACCUCUCCUCUCAGGCCUGGGGGGCUCUAGGGCUGGAAACGCCUGCCACCAGGUGCUUCCCUCGUCGCCCUGGCCUGUGUCCCCGCAGUCCAGGCUGCAGGCGCACAGUGCUCACCUUCGCCACGUCCCGCUUGCUGUCGUCACUGAAGUGAGCGGUGCCCACCACGUACACCCUGCUCCCAUCCUCAGCCACUAGCUGGGUCACAGUACGAGGAAGGUUGGGCCGUUCACGCCGCCGCUUCAUUUUCAUGUCCAGGAGCAAGUUGAAGGCAUCCAUAUCAGCUGUAACAACAGCAAAAGCCAUGGUGAAGGGAGGUGUGGGGCGGCAUGACCCCGGGGCACAGCUGCCUAUGUACUGGCUACGGAGGCUUUCCAGCUUCCCAGUGAGACCUGAGUCCCAUUGGCCAGAAUCUCUGGCAGGCGGCUCACUCCACACAGCUGGCUUACCCAGAUGCCCGGACAAGCCACCUGAGCACCUCUGCGAACGGAGUACAGCUGAGGGGCCUGGGCGGGAGUUGCCUCACUAACCUCAAUUAGACCCAAACUGUCACAGGAAAGUGCUGUGCCUGAGGGAACGGGGUGGCCAGGUUCCCUGGACGUGUCUCAGUCACAUGUAUGACUCAACUUUUAGGGGCUGAAGCACAGGCUCUGUGCAGCCAAUUUCAGGAUAUUACAGGUACCUAAGUACA